UACGUAAGCAUAGGGGGAGGGGGUAAGUACUUUGCUUACUUUUGAUGACAACGGGGGCGGGGGGGUAAAAAAUGGUAAGAAAUCUGCUUACGUAAUACUUGAACGGCCCCAGUGACAAGUUUUCGAACGAAGAUUUGAGUCACGGGUGAUGACCGGCGCUUUUUGGAGUGCCCUUGUCUUUUACUCUGCUGGCCGCGGUCGUGAACAGAAGUUUUGUAGUGUGUGGUGUUGUGGCAUUCUGAGUCGGCCCUAAAUGUGCCAUUCCCAACUCAAACGGGCAGGGCACGCAGAUUAUUGUUGUCGAAAUAAGGGAAUUCCGGUUGGACACCGAAAUCCCGCUGUUCGCCGAUUUUGUGGACUCACUGCCACGUGCUGAGUUUUAUUACUGUUGAAGAUUUUGGUUGGGCAGUGCUCGGUGGCGAGCUCUGCGCUGUGCCCUGCUUUAGCGGCUGUCGCCGGAUUUUUUUCCUCCGUUGAAGGUGACGAUGGUGCCUGAGAGUCGUUCCCCGACCAUGACUGGCCGAUAUGUACACUACCGAGGCCGUCCUCCGCGGUCCUGGGCUACCCUACUUCAUAGGUUGGUUCCGUUUUCUAUUGAGCUUGUCAAUUAUUUUAGUUUACUUUGAAAAAUUAGAUUACCCACAUAACGAUUACAUUUUACCAAAAAGUAAAUUCUUAAAUAAAUUUACCAUUGUGAUGUAUUAUCAAUGGAUUUUGUUGUGUUAACUAUUUUUAGUUCGCUUUGUGAAGGUCGAUGAUGUAAUAAUUACAAUGAUUACAUUUUACCAAAAUGUUAGUUCCUAAAUAAAUUUACCAUUGUGACGUAUUAUCGAUGGAUUUUAUUGUGUUUACUAUUUUUAGCUCGCUUUGUGAAGGUAGAUGAUGUAAUAAUUAUGAUGGUUACAUUUUACCAAAUGUUACCUUCUAAAUAGAUUUACCAGUGUAAUGAAUUACCGUUGGAUUUUGCUGUGUUCACAUUUGCUCCAUCCUUGAGAGCGAUGGAUUGUUUUUUUUGUGUGUCGUAGUAAUUUAACUAAGCGAACACAAGUAAAUUAAUUUCUUUGUAUUAAUAUGCCUAUUACUACCUGUUUAAGCUGUAGGGUAUUAAUGCACCAGUGGUGCACUUACUGUAUCGAUAUUUUUAUAAUAAUAUAUUUUU